UACGUAGGGUGCAAGCGUUAAUCGGAAUUACUGGGCGUAAAGCGUGCGCAGGCGGUUUUGUAAGUCUGUCGUGAAAUCCCCGGGCUCAACCUGGGAAUUGCGAUGGAGACUGCAAGGCUAGAAUCUGGCAGAGGGGGGGUAGAAUUCCACGUGUGAGCAGUGAAAUGCGUAGAGAUGUGGAGGAACACCGAUGGCGAAGGCAGCCCCCUGGGUCAAGAUUGACGCUCCAUGC
rnacentral:rRNA from 1 species